GACGUAGGGCGCGAGCGUUGUCCGGAUUUAUUGGGCGUAAAGAGCUCGUAGGCGGUCUGUCGCGUCUGCUGUGAAAACCCGAGGCUCAACCUCGGGCCUGCAGUCGAUACGGGCGGACUCGAGUUCGGCAGGGGAGACUGGAAUUCCUGGUGUAGCGGUGAAAUGCGCAGAUAUCAGGAGGAACACCGGUGGCGAAGGCGGGUCUCGUGGGCCGAUGACUGACGCUGGAGGAGCGAAAGCGUGGGAGCGAACAGG
rnacentral:rRNA from 1 species